rnacentral:rRNA from 1 species
GACGAACGCUGGCGGCGUGCCUAAUACAUGCAAGUCGAACGCACUCUCGUUUAGAUUGAAGGAGUUUGCUCCUGAUUGAUAAACAUUUGAGUGAGUGGCGGACGGGUGAGUAACACGUGGGUAACCUGCCCUAAAGUGGGGGAUAACAUUUGGAAACAGAUGCUAAUACCGCAUAAAACCUAACACCGCAUGGUGUAGGGUUGAAAGAUGGUUUCGGCUAUCACUUUAGGAUGGACCCGCGGUGCAUUAGUUAGUUGGUGGGGUAAAGGCUCACCAAGACCGUGAUGCGUAGCCGACCUGAGAGGGUGAUCGGCCACACUGGGACUGAGACACGGCCCAGACUCCUGCGGGAGGCAGCAGUAGGGAAUCUUCCACAAUGGACGAAAGUCUGAUGGAGCAACGCCGCGUGAGUGAAGAAGGUUUUCGGAUCGUAAAACUCUGUUGUUGGAGAAGAAUGUAUCUGAUAGUAACUGAUCAGGUAGUGACGGUAUCCAACCAGAAAGCCACGGCUAACUACGUG